AGAGCCAGGAGCCCCAGUGCCCUUUCCUCCUCCCACCGCCCACCAAAACAUGGGGUCCAAGAUCUUCUGUUGUUGCCGCAAGACCAGCGAGGGGUCGUCUACCACUGCUGGCUUCCACAAUCCAAGAAUGUUCCAACAGCAUCAUCCACGGUCCUUUAAUCUGAACACAAAUUCUCUCCACAGUGCUGCACCAAACAGACAUCCACGCCUCCCCCAUGACAAACGCGUGAUGCUCAAGGCGUGCACCCUCAGGAGGCCAUGAGCAUUCUAGUCGGCGGCACCCACGUGGUCCCUGAGGCUGCACGGCUGCUGCGCUUCCAUGAGGAAGAGGGUGGUGGACAGGAGUCAUGAAGACUGAUUCAGAAACUCCCCUGCAGGAGGAGAAGACGUCUGACCAUCCCUGUGCCACCACCAAGAGUCACUCCAGCUUCUGAAAAAGCCACCAUUGGGGGAGCUGCCUCCAAUUAAAGUCCUUGGUCACAUCA